GGCGCUGUAGCAAAGUGGUUACUGCGAUUGACUCGAACGAUACGGGUCUCAUUGGACCUUAUAUCGCUGAUAUCAAUUCUCCUCGGAGGCGCAGGUUCGAGUCCUGCCGGCGUCG
rfam:Mycosphaerella graminicola IPO323 chromosome 2, whole genome shotgun sequence.